rnacentral:rRNA from 1 species
UAAUAGUGUAUAUUAAAGUUGUUGCAGUUAAAAAGCUCGUAGUUGAAUGUUGGUGUCGAACGAGUGGUCAGCUUCGGCUGUACUGCUCUCUCGACUCCUUCCUUCUGUGGACUACGUCGCACUUUACUGUGUGGCGCUAGGACGCAGAUCGUUUACUGUGAAAAAAUUAGAGUGUUCAAAGCAGGCCGUACGCUUGAAUACAUUAGCAUGGAAUAAUGGAAUAGGACGUCGGGCCUAUUUUGUUGGUUCUAGGACCGUCGUAAUGAUUAAUAGGGACAGUUGGGGCCGUUUAUAUUCCGUAGUCAGAGGUGAAAUUCUUGGAUUUACGGAAGAUAAACUACUGCGAAAGCAUUCGGCAAGGAUGUUUNCGUUA